rnacentral:rRNA from 1 species
AGUGAACGCUGGCGGUAGGCCUAACACAUGCAAGUCGAACGGCAGCACAGUAAGAGCUUGCUCUUACGGGUGGCGAGUGGCGGACGGGUGAGGAAUACAUCGGAAUCUACUUUUUCGUGGGGGAUAACGUAGGGAAACUUACGCUAAUACCGCAUACGACCUACGGGUGAAAGCAGGGGAUCUUCGGACCUUGCGCGAUUGAAUGAGCCGAUGUCGGAUUAGCUAGUUGGCGGGGUAAAGGCCCACCAAGGCGACGAUCCGUAGCUGGUCUGAGAGGAUGAUCAGCCACACUGGAACUGAGACACGGUCCAGACUACUACGGGAGGCAGCAGUGGGGAAUAUUGGACAAUGGGCGCAAGCCUGAUCAAGCCAUACCGCGUGGGUGAAGAAGGCCUUCGGGUUGUAAAGCCCUUUUGUUGGGAAAGAAAAGCAGCAGGUUAAUACCCCGCUGUUCUGACGGUACCCAAAGAAUAAGCACCGGCUAACUUCGUG